rnacentral:lncRNA from 1 species
UGUCCCAUGAACAGUUGGUUUCAUUUAUCUGAUCCACUGAUAAUGACCUUAAAAAUGUUGGGAAACAUCACUGUGGAAUCUCCAGCUUUUACAAGGAAAAGUUAAAAAGCAAAAUCCAGUGGUACUACUGAAAACUCAUUCCUUCUGAUCUGUUCUUCAGCAUAAAACGAUAUUGUCCUUAAGUGAAGGGAUUGGGUAAUGCUGUAUUUUAUGUAAAAAUGUAUAAAUUCUCUCACUGUUGCCCAGGGUUACAGUUUAGCUAGCAACCAUUAGCCUUUGGAAGACAGGGGUUGUGUCUCUUAUAACUCAGCUUAGAAUUUGAGAGCUCUAUAGCCAGAGGCUGCUAUCCGCCCCUGGGUAGAUAACACCUAUGGGUGGAUUUCUAAGCUGUGAAAUAAUAAAAUUCCUGAGAGAGUUUCCAAGCUGCUUUCACACAUAGAAGAGCCCUGGGAAGAUGGUUAUUAAUAGCCCUGUCCUAGAAGAGAAGGCUGAGGUUCAGAAUCAUUAAGUGUCUUGCCAAAAGCAAUAUAGCUGGUAAGUGUGAGAUGUGGGUAUUUACCCAAGGCCCUGUUACAAAAAUAUCCAUGGAAACUCACAAGAACCAUUUGGUUCUCGGUGGCAGGUGUAUAUGUGUAUCGUAUUGCUGCAGAUCAUUAAGAGUUUUCACCAGUCUGUGUCAUCUUGUUGAGAAGCCACAGGUCUUUGUGAUGAUCCCCAGGCAGCAAAGGCCACUGAGAACAACUAUGCAGAAGCACAUUGCAGCAAAUUUCCCCAGAGAGCGUUGGUUUACAUCCACUGGAAACCUUUCUGGACUGGUCCUGCUCAGGAUAUCAAUGGAGACUAUAUUAUUUCAAAUACAGUAGUGUUCAGAGGUUACUUGCGUUUUAGGAAAGCCCUUCCUCUCUUGGACCACAGAGACAGAAGCUGUUAUAGGUAUAGCUGUUCUCUUCUAGGACAGGGCUAUAUAGAACACACACACACACACACACACACACACACACACACACACACACACACACACACACUCUCUCUCUCUCUCUCUCUCUCUGUCAGUUCACAAGAAUAUGCUGAGGCAACCACGAAUUUGUGAUCCAACAAGCCCAAGACCAGAGGCCUUGAAAUGUCUAGAGAAGUGCUAUUGGAUGAGCAAACUCUCUGAAGUUUAGCCUUUAUCAUUGGACAGGGGGUGCUUCUCGGGCUGUCGUGCCCAUGGGAUUAUUCUACGCUCAUCCCAGAGAACAGUGCACUGUAUUGUCAGCAACAACAAAGAACCUCGUUGGAGGGCCCUGGGUAUACUCCAGAAGUCAGCCCACAUUGCAGCUCAACGAGGAACACUCCUCUUGGAGCUGACUUCCUCAUGAAGCUGGGCCUUCCAGGUACAGUCUUGGCUUUCAUUUUUUUAUCUUCUGGUUGUUUUUUCGGUUGUUGUUGUUGUUGUUGUUUUUGGUUUUUUUUUGUUUGUUUGUUUGUUUGUUUUUUGCUACAAGUCAAAAAUCCGCUAAUUAAGAAAAUAUUCUUUGACCACAUUAAAUCUGCACUUAAUCUAGAAAUCUAGAAACCCUUUCAAAUGCCCUAGUCUGUAAGUUAGGCAUUUGUCUUUCCUAGAGCCUCUCCUCUGUCAGACCAAAAUCACCACUCAUUUGACUGUUCCCUUGGAUUGGUAAGAGGCAAGUGAAAUAGCAAACAGCCUUUCAGCUUUUUCCAGUCUUCCCACAAGGGAACUAUCAUACCAGAUAUUGGAGAGGACCAGAAGUUUGGCAACAUUGACUGAGGACCCAACCUAUCCAGGAGGCAUUUUCUCUGGCACACAUUGGCUCACCCAACCAAGCUAUAGAUUUAUUAGGCCUUUUGAUCACGCCUUAUAAUGACCCGAAGAGAGGCUGGCUUUUGUAGAGCCGUCCCAUCCCAUUAGACAAAAGGGCAUGAGGAGCUGAAUGUGUAAGGGGAUGGGGUCCUGAAACGUUUGUGGUAUUUUUCAGAUAUCUUCAUGAGUCAACCCUGACUGAAAGAAAAAUAUGAAUAAUGCUUUCAUUUUUCCACCCUAUAUAAUAUAGUCCCAGAGAUCAUUUAGAGAAAGCACAGUUGUGUUGUUAUUGAAACACACACACACACACGGGUCUUCCAUCAAGAAAGCUCAUUCUCCAAAAAAAAAAAAAAAAA